CAAAAUAUAUUGAACGAAUCUCGUUUUUGACGUUUCGAAACUACGAUUACACAAACAAAAUACAUAGGCUUUUUCUUUUUGUAUUAUUGCUACUGCCGCGUGUUAAAAAAAAAAAAUCCAAAAAUAUCCAAUAGAUACUGAAAAAUUGAUUUGAAAUUUCAUCGGGUAUUUUGGAAAGUGGACCGGGAACUGACCUAUUCGAAAAAAAAAACUCUUGCGUCGCCGCGAAACGGGUGUACUUCAAAAAUUAGCUCCCGAAAGACUGAAAAUGCUACAAUAAUCCGUCCUCUCCGGUUCCCGACCAGGCGCAAUUCAUAGCGCGCUGCAUUUAAUAUUCGUGCGACAGUCGGUAAUUCGAAAAACCAUGAAUCGUACCACCUUUACUCUAGUAGAGAAUACAAAUAUUCAUAGACGCCGUACAGUGCUUACCAAAGACGUUAUUGCAGCUGUAGAAUAGAGCAUCGAAGAGGGCCCAAAUGCCUUCAUCCGCCAUCUCGCGCUGCAAUUGGAUUUGCGCCCAUUUACUUUACAGAAGAUUUUGCGAAAGGAGCUCUGGCUUGCGGCCUUGCAAAAUAUAGCUCGUGCAUGAAGAAAAUCGGCGAAUGGUCUCAAAAUUAUAGGGCCACCGACCCGGAUUUUCACCAAAAAGGCAAAGCAAAGCUAGUCAAUGUCAUCCUAAGAGAGAGUGGGGUUGGAUGAGUGGGCUUUUGAUAUAUAUACUAAGAGGCGUGUGAUAUCUUAUGGAGACUCAUUGCACGCAGAACAUACAAACGUUGGUUGUGUUGGAGUCGGAUCUGGAAAGGUUGGAGUUGAGUAAGCUGCAGUCGCCAGAGCUUAAUUGUGCCAGGUUUUCUUGGAUAUAUACACGCGGUGGUCCGGCUUUUAGCAGAUGAUCAUGGAUCUGUGGUAGUAUCCCAGCAGCCUGGCAAGUCUCGCUAUGCAAAUUGUCUUAUCGCGGUAACGGUGUAUUGACUUGAGAAUUUUAUUGAAUGUCAAUUAAGGUAACUUUAGGCUAAUAGUAGGCAAUAAUUUUGACGUCAUCGAUUUUGGAUUUAAAAAUUUUUCGAAUAUAUAAAAAUAAAGUAAA